rnacentral:other from 1 species
CGGGCUCUGCGCUGUGCGUAAGAUAUGCAGUAAUUCCCGGGGCCAUAACUUACUCCAGGGAGCUGUCCCUGACUAGGGCCGUGGUCCUUAUCAUACGGCGCCCACCUGAACUAUCAGGUCACGGAGAAUACAUACGUCAACACGGCAGAAGCGGUCCCGCA